GGCCACGUAGCCAAGUGGUAAGGCGAGGGUCUGCAAAACCCUCAUGCGGCGGUUCGAUUCCGCCCGUGGCCUCCA
rnacentral:tRNA from 1 species